UAAUUUGAGAUGCUGACUAACUUGAAACUCGUUUUUGCUAUUUAUUUUGCACGGCGGAUGGAAUUCCCUGUAACUCUAGAUCAUCAACAAUCUCUUAAACUUCUGAUCCUUAAACCUUGUUCCUCUUGCAAGAACACAAUGCAGGCCAGGCAGCAUCUCGGAGAAUUUGGGACCCCUUUGUGGGCAACGUUGUGGGAGAGCUGCUGUCUUUUACAGCGCUUCCAGCGCCAGAGACCCUGGUUCGAUCCUGGCUACGGGUAUUGGCUAGUGUACUGGGAUAGUACUAGGAUAGUGUUCAUGUGCGGGGAUUGCUGGUCGGCGCGGACCCGGUGGGCCGAUCUUACCCUGUUCCUUUUGAAAUUGCUCCGUUUUGGGGUGGAACAUUUCAUCGACAGACAUGAACAAUAUUUAUCUGAAGAAGGGUCUCGACCCGAAACGUCCCCUAUUUGUUCGCCCCAUAGAUGCUGCCUCACCCGCUGAGUUUCUCCAGCGUUUUUGUCUACCUUUGAACAAUAUUCGUAAUUAUUUUAUAGAAGCGGAAUUGCGGGCUCUUCAUUAACAAUUGACAGCAAGUGAAGUGGUCUGAAUAAAACUUCUACAUUGAAAACUAGUUUCUACAAAGGCAAGUAAUGCGGGCGGGUGUGCAGAAAUGAUGUGGUGAAAUGUUCAUAUCGAACCGCAACUGAAUUUAAGUGUCAGUAAAGGUGAGAAGAAGGGGAGUCUGAGGGGUAAGUUAUUUUUCAUACAGUGAGUGGAUGAUAACUGGAACAUACUGCCAGGGGAGGUGGUGAAAUCAAAACGAUUAUUACAUUAAAAUAUGUGUUUAGUCGGAUACUUAAGACACAGCCCUAAUCCAGCAAAUGGGAUUAGUGUAAAUGAACGAAAAGGUUGGCAUAGACGUGGUAGUAAUUGUUUGUAUCUCAUUGAUUCUGCAACUAAAACUUUUAGUUUUGAAGCUAUUGAAAGAUACAGCAUGGAGAAGGGCCCUUCAGCCCACCGAGUCUACCCGACCCGUUCCAUGUUAUCUCAUUUCCGCAUCCACUCUCUCGACACCAGGAGCAAUUAACCAACAGACCUGCACGCCUUUGGGAUGUGGGAGGGAAGCGGAAAGUCUGAAAGGAUGAAGGGAGACAUGAUAGAAGCGCUACAAUUAGAAUAACUCCAACCCAGCCAUAAUCCCCAUCAAUGUUUUCGACAUACAAUGUGAGGGGAGGUCCUCUGACCUGUUCACGUUGCAAAUUACAUCUACAGACUUGUGGGUUACAGGAGGAAACCGGAACAUCCGGAGGAAACCCACGCGGUCACAGGGAGAACAUGCAAACUCCACGCAGACAGCACCAGAGGUCAGGAUCGAAGCCGGGUCUCUGGCGCUGUGAGGCAGCAGGUUCACCAGCUGUGUCGCUGGUUACUGUACAAUGGCUGUGUUGUUGUGGAAACCCACCUGGUUCACUGAUAUACUGAAGGGAUUCUGCCAUCCUCACCACCCAGGCUGCACGGAGACAACAAUCGGUUCAUGGGCCACUGGUCAUCGGCAAUAACACACUGACCUUGGUGAAGGUACCACAACACUUGAGUUUCACACAUCGCUGUGGGAACCGAGGCGGAUCAUCACUGAGGUACAAACUUAGACUGCAUCUGUAACGACAUAACUAUCACACACAUUGCCAGACUGGACUUGCUGCAGUCGAGGGCGAGACAGUGAUUCAAGAAACUGCAGAUGCUUAGCAAAACACAAAGUGCUGGAGGAACUCAGCGGGCCAGGCAUCAUCUGUAGAGGAAUGGACAGAUGCUGCCUGACCUGCUGAGUUAUUCUGCUGAGUUUGUGGUUUGCUUAAGGCCUGGACGGCGACGUACGACUAAAGACCAUCAGGAACCUGGUCACAUUGCUAUUGCAUCAACUCUGCGAACUAAACAUUACUCAAUUUUCCCUGAGAUCAGGUUGAAAACCGACCUGUUCCUGAAAACGAUAUUUUUCCAAAUGAAAAAGUAAUUGUUUUACCUAAUGUCCAAAGAUAAAACGCGUGUAUAAGUUUCAUUGAUGAGUUGUGAUGUAACGAUUCUAUAUGGUUUAAGCCCAAAACAGAAACUAGAACUACAAUGUAAAUUUGCAUUCGUUUUUUUUUUCUCUUACAUUAAUAUUUACAAUUAAAGCAGUAACAUUUUUUUCGCCCACUUUUAACAUCAACUUUAAUGCGAUUCUAAAGUUUAAAUUAGCGUUUUCGAAAAUUAAUUGUUUGCUUAAGUGUGCAUGUAAGAAAAAAAUGUGGUGUUAGAAAGAUAUGUAGUGAAAUAAUUAACGGCUACUUGUAAAUUAGUUUACUUGUAAAUUUCAACCCAACAUCUCUCUUUUCCGAAACGCCACCCAUUCCUUCUCUCCACAAGAUGCUGCCUGUCCCGCUGAGCUACUCCAGCUUUUCGUGUCUAUCUCACUUUUUCUCGCCCCCCCCCCCCCCGCACUACAAUCUGCCUGAAGAAGGAUCCCGACCCUAAAAGUCGCCUGUUUAUCCCUUCCCUCCACAGAUGCUGCCUGACCACUUGAGUUCCUCCAGCACUUUGAGCGUUUUGCUCAAGAUUCCAACAUCUGCAGUUGCUUGCGACUGCAUUUGAUGAAGACAUUGCUCACCUUAGCAGUAGCAGGAUCGCCCUGUCAUUCACAGAAAGCACAAACUCGACUGUGUAAUGCUGUAUAAAUGCUGUAUACAUGGUGAAAUGUACAUUUAAAAACAAAUCUGUAAUACCACACACAAUUAACUUUACUGCAAAAUACAAUCUCAUCAAUUGGCAUUAAUUCUAAAUGCUGGAGCCAUAAUUACAGAUUUAAGAGCUCAAAGUCUCAACGGCUCCAGAGAGUAAGAGUAAGGUAACGAUUUUAUAAAGUUUAUUUUAAGUAUGAUGUCAUUGUGCAUUAUGUAAAAGAAUGAGUCGCAAUUAAAUCCCAGCGAUCUGCUGAUAUUUCAAU